rnacentral:rRNA from 1 species
CCUACGGGAGGCAGCAGUGGGGAAUAUUGGGCAAUGGGCGCAAGCCUGACCCAGCAACGCCGCGUGAAGGAAGAAGGCCCUCGGGUUGUAAACUUCUUUUAUCAAGGACGAAACAAAUGACGGUACUGGAUGAAUAAGCCACGGCUAACUACGGGCCAGCAGCCGCGGGAAUACGUAGGUGGCAAGCGUUAUCCGGAUUUACUGGGUGUAAAGGGCGUGUAGGCGGGACGGCCAGUCAGAUGUGAAAACCAUGGGCUCAACCCAUGGACUGCAUUUGAAACUGUAGUUCUUGAGUGUUGGAGAGGCAGGCGGACUUCCGUUUGUCGCGGUGACAUGCGUCGAUAUCCGGAGG